rnacentral:tRNA from 1 species
GGAUAUAGCUCAGUGGUAGGGUGCUUGUCUAGCAGGCAUGGUGCCUUGGGUUCAAUCCCCAGUACCA